GGUAGAAUGGCUGAGUUGAGGUGAUAGACUGUAAAUCUAUUUAGGAGGGCAAAUCCCUCUUCUACCA
rnacentral:tRNA from 1 species